rnacentral:rRNA from 1 species
UACGUAGGGGGGCAAGCGUUGUCCGGAUUUAUUGGGCGUAAAGAGCGUGUAGGCGGCUUUACAGGUCCGUUGUGAAAAACUCGAGGCUCAACCUCGAGACGCCGGUGGAAACCGUAAAGCUAGAGUCCGGAAGAGGAGAGUGGAAUUCCUGGUGUAGCGGUGAAAUGCGCAGAUAUCAGGAAGAACACCCGUGGCGAAGGCGGCUCUCUGGGACGGUACUGACGCUGAGACGCGAAAGCGUGGGGAGCGAACAGG